CUACGGAGGGUGCGAGCGUUAAUCGGAAUUACUGGGCGUAAAGCGUACGUAGGCGGUUGGUUAAGUUAGAUGUGAAAGCCCCGGGCUUAACCUGGGAACUGCAUUUAAAACUGGCGAACUAGAGUUGAGUAGAGGGGAGUGGAAUUUCAGGUGUAGCGGUGAAAUGCGUAGAGAUCUGAAGGAACACCAGUGGCGAAGGCGACUCCCUGGACUCGAACUGACGCUGAGGUACGAAAGCGUGGGUAGCAAACGGGAGUAGAUACCCCAGUAGUCC
rnacentral:rRNA from 1 species